rnacentral:rRNA from 1 species
GAUGAACGCUGGCGGCGUGCCUAACACUUGCAAGUCGAACGGAGUCCAGCCUUUAAGACCUUCGGGUCAAAGAGGGGAAGACUGAGUGGCGGACGGGUGAGUAACACGUGGGCAACCUGGCUCAUAGAGGGGGAUAACAGAGAGAAAUUUCUGCUAAUACCGCAUAAGCACACACUGCCGCAUGGCAGAGGGUGAAAAGAGAAUCGCUAUGAGAUGGACCCGCGUCUGAUUAGCCAGUUGGCAGGGUAAGAGCCUACCAAAGCGACGAUCAGUAGCCGAUCUGAGAGGAUGAACGGCCACAUUGGGACUGAGACACGGCCCAAACUCCUACGGGAGGCAGCAGUGGGGGAUAUUGCACAAUGGGGGGAACCCUGAUGCAGCGACGCCGCGUGAGUGAAGAAGUAUUUCGGUAUGUAAAGCUCUAUCAGCAGGGAAGAUAAUGACAGUACCUGAAUAAGAAGCCCCGGCUAACUACGUG